CCUACGGGUGGCAGCAGUGGGGAAUCUUGCACAAUGGACGAAAGUCUGAUGCAGCAAUUUCGCGUGAAGGAUGAAGCAUUACGGUGUGUAAACUUCUUUUUUGGAGGAAGACGAAUGACGGUACUUCAAGAAUAAGAGACGGCUAACUACGUGCCAGCAGCCGCGGUAAUACGUAGGUCUCAAGCGUUAUCCGGAUUUACUGGGCGUAAAGUGUCCGUAGUCUGAUCUGUAAGUCUGUUUUCAAAUCCUACGACUCAAUCGUAGAAAGGGAGUGGAUACUGCAGAUCUAGAAGUAUCUAGGGGUUAGUGGAAUUUCCGGUGGAGCGGUGAAAUGCGUUGAUAUCGGAAGGAACGCCGAAAGCGAAAGCAGCUAACUAUAGAAUACUUGACGAUGAGGGACGACAGUUUGGGGAGCAAACAGGAUUAGAUACCCUAGUAGU
rnacentral:rRNA from 1 species